rnacentral:lncRNA from 1 species
AGGCAUCGUGCAUUAGGACGAAGCUCUUUCGCAUCAACCAUUAUCCCUUAAUAUUGCAUCAGUUUCAGCCCAGCCCCUAUCUGAUGAUGCCUUUGUGUGUGUAUACCUAUGUGAUGAGGGUUGAAAAGCCAAGCUAAGCCCUGUUGUUGUUCUUGUUGUUGUUUAUGGCCCCACCAGAGCUGGUUUUUUUUGUCCUUUUCCCUACCAUAUAUAUGUCCAUCUACUUGCCACAUUGCCACUGCCACCUCUCUCACUAUUGCUACUGCCAAC